UACGUAGGGUGCAAGCGUUGUCCGGAUUUAUUGGGCGUAAAGAGCUCGUAGGCGGCUCGUCGCGUCAUCCGUGAAAACCCGCAGCUUAACUGCGGGCUUGCGGUUGAUACGGGCAUCACUGGAGUUCGGCAGGGGAGACUGGAAUUCCUGGUGUAGCGGUGAAAUGCGUAGAUAUCAAGUGGAACACCAGUGGCGAAGGCGAGUCCCUGGACAAGACCUGACACUGAGGCACGAAAGCCAGGGGAGCAAACAGG
rnacentral:rRNA from 1 species